ACGAACGCUGGCGGCUGCUUAACACAUGCAAGUCGAACGGAGUGGCGAACGGGUGAGUAACUCGUGAGCAACCUUCCUAUGACAGUGGGAUAGCUUCGGGAAACCGGGAUUAAUACCGCAUAGUCAUAGAUGGGCUCGCGUCUGAUUAGGUAGUUGGUGAGAUAACAGCCCACCAAGGCGACGAUCAGUAGCCGGUCUGUGAGAAUGAACGUCCACGUUGUAACUGCGACACUGUCCAAACUCCUACGCGAGGCAGCAGUGGGGAAUAUUGCACAAUGGUGGAAACCCUGAUGCAGCGACGCCGCGUGAACAAGGAAGUUAUUCGUAUCGUAAAGUUCUGUCCUAUGGGAAGCAGUACCAUAGAAGAAAGCUCCGGCUAAAUACGUGCCAGCAGCCGCGGUAAUAC
rnacentral:rRNA from 1 species